rnacentral:rRNA from 1 species
GACGAACGCUGGCGGCGUGCCUAAUACAUGCAAGUAGGACGCAGUUGCGAACGGGUGAGUAACGCGUAGGUAACUACCUAUUAGAGGGGGAUAACUAGUGGAAACGAUAGCUAAUACCGCAUACUAGUAGAUGGACCUGCGUUGUAUUAGGUAGUAGGUAGGGUAAUGGCCUACCUAGGCAACGAUACAUAGCCGACCUGGGGAGGUGAACGGGCAAACUGGGACUGGAGAACGGCCCCAACUCCUACGGGGGGGAGCAGUAGGGAAACUUCGGCAAUGGGGGGAAACCUGACCGAGCAACGCCGCGGGAGUGAAGAAGGUUUUCGGAUCGUAAAGCUCUGUUGUUAAGGAAGCGGUACUUAACCAGAAAGGGACGGCUAACUACGUGCCAGCAGCCGCGGUAAUAC